AGAGGUGGCAAGCGUUGUUCGGAAUUACUGGGCGUAAAGGGCGCGUAGGCGGCCUUCUAAGUCAGACGUGAAAUCCCCCGGCUUAACCUGGGAACUGCGUCUGAUACUGGAAGGCUUGAGUGCGGGAGAGGGAUGUGGAAUUCCAGGUGUAGCGGUGAAAUGCGUAGAUAUCUGGAGGAACACCGGUGGCGAAGGCGGCAUCCUGGACCGACACUGACGCUGAGGCGCGAAAGCUAGGGUAGCAAACGGGAUUAGAUACCCCGGUAGUCCUAGCCCUAAACGAUGAGUGCUUGGUGUGGCGGGUAUCGAUCCCUGCCGUGCCGAAGCUAACGCAUUAAGCACUCCGCCUGGGGAGUACGGUCGCAAGGCUGAA
rnacentral:rRNA from 1 species